rnacentral:rRNA from 1 species
GUAACACGUAGUCAACAUACCCAGGGGACGUGGAUAACCUCGGGAAACUGAGGAUAAACCGCGAUAGGCCAAGAUUUCUGGAAUGGAUCAUGGCCGAAAUCUAUACGGCCUCUGGAUUGGACUGCGGCCGAUCAGGCUGUUGGUGAGGUAAUGGCCCACCAAACCUAUAACCGGUACGGGCUUUGAGAGAAGGAGCCCGGAGAUGGGCACUGAGACAAGGGCCCAGGUCCUAUGGGGCGCAGCAGGCGCGAAACCUCUGCAAUAGGCGAAAGCUUGACAGGGUUACUCUGAGUGAUGUCCGUUAAGGGCAUCUUUUGGCACCUCUAAAAAUGGUGCAGAAUAAGGGGUGGGCAAGUCUGGUGUCAGCCGCCGCGGUAAUACCAGCACCCCGAGUGGUCGGGACGAUUAUUGGGCCUAAAGCAUCCGUAGCUUGUUCUGCAAGUCUUCCGUUAAAUCCACCUGCUCAACAGAUGGGCUGCGGGGGAUACUACAGGGCU